UGACAUGAUAAAGAGACUCAUAACUAAGCGAGGAAACAGGAAGUAUGCCCUCUUUUCCCCUCUGCUCCUGCUCCAGCGGUACAAUGUGAUCCACCAGCAAGGAUGGACGCCAUAAGGCGUCCAAUAAGAUAAGUCUUAUAACAUAUAUAGAUUUAUGAUAGUUAAGACUGAGCUAACUGAUGAGAAUCCUAGUCAUUGGCCAAGCAGCUUUGAACCUAAUACAAGUCUCUCUGUGUAUUUAUUUGGGCCCUAACUCGGGCAGGCAGCUGGUGUAAAGUUCACACAUGGCAGCGGGGCUCAGGCGGCUUUUGGCAGAAAGAUUUAUCAUAACAGAAUGGGGUCAGUGAGCGGGAUGACUCCAUGCCCCAAGGUUUCCAGAGAAAGAGGUAAACCUGCCGCCACAGCCUGCCCUGUCGGGCUGCUGAGCAUGGGAGCAGCUUCCAUAUGCUCACGCCAUCCCGGCGCUUCUGGGGUUUAGACUCAGCACUUCUGAGAUGAUAAAGACAUAUCCAGAUAAAGAAAAUCCUCUAAAGGUUUACACUACAUUAAAAAAUAUAUGUAGGCUUGUGAAAGAAAAAUUAACAGGAGGAAAUAGAGUAGCCGGUUAUGGUGGCCAAUGCCAGUAGGAUUUGCUAAAGGAAGCAGAGGCAGGCAGAUUUCCACAGAGAAACCCUGUGUCAGGGGAAAAAGAAACAAAUGAAAGUAAAAAUAAAGUAAUAAAAAGCCAAAUAAAGAUGGAAAAUACACAGAGAAUCUGGAUACUAUAUGCCAUAUUGUUGUCUUUAAAUUGUUUGAUUGCCGAGGAAAGAAUUGCUGCUACUAAAAUACAUUUGAUUAUAAAUGCAGCUAAAUUAAUCCAACUUAUACUUUUUAAAAAUGCUUUGACUUUAAAAUUUAAGUCUAAGGACAGGCUACUUAGCAAUAAAGGUUUUGCUUGUAUUUCCACAGAAAAUCAAAAGCUGUUGAUUCCUUCCAGACUAAUAUGGUUUGAUCAAGCAAGACCCCCUGAAGCUGAGAUGAUACAGCCUUACAGACUACAAAAACAAGGACUUGAUACAUGGACAGUUCUGUGUGAUAACUGAAAGACAAGACCUUCUGGCAGAUUAGAGCAGUGAUCUGGAAGACAAGUCUCUCUGCUCUAACUUUGGCAAUGCUGUGUUUGCUGGGCUGUUCUUUGGAAAGACUCGUUCUAUUAUAAGACAUCGUUUCCCUCCCCAAAACGAUGGAUUUGUCACAGUGCAUAAUGUUUUUCU
rnacentral:lncRNA from 1 species